rnacentral:rRNA from 1 species
GUCUACGGCCAUACCACCCUGAACGCGCCCGAUCUCGUCUGAUCUCGGAAGCUAAGCAGGGUCGGGCCCGGUUAGUACUUGGAUGGGAGACCCUGGGAAUACCGGGUGCUGUAGGCU